rnacentral:snoRNA from 1 species
UCCGAGUCGAUGAUGUAUUUUCUGCGUUAUCUUUCUGCAAGCCUGCAUAGGCCUGAAGAUAUCUUACUUGACCUGAGAUUUGGA